GACCAGACUCCUACGGGAGGCAGCAGUGAGGAAUAUUGGUCAAUGGCCGUAAGGCUGGACCAGCCAAGUAGCGUGAGGGAAGACUGCCCUAUGGGUUGUAAACCUCUUUUAUGCGGGGAUAAAGGUGUCCACGUGUGGAUGUUUGCAGGUACCGCAUGAAUAAGGACCGGCUAAUUCCGUGCCAGCAGCCGCGGUAAUACGGAAGGUCCGGGCGUUAUCCGGAUUUAUUGGGUUUAAAGGGUGCGUAGGCGGGCUGUUAAGUCGGGGGUAAACGCCCGGGGCCCACCCCCGGCGAGCCGUUGAAACUGGCUGUCUUGAGAUGUCGAGAGGUAUGCGGAAUGCGCAGUGUAGCGGUGAAAUGCGUAGAUAUUAGGAGGAACACCAGUGGCGAAGGCGGCUUACUGGACUGUAACUGACGUUGAGGCUCGAAAGCGUGGGGAGCAAACAGGAUUAGAUACCCUGGUA
rnacentral:rRNA from 1 species